rnacentral:rRNA from 1 species
GAUAACUCGCGGAAGCAGGCGGAGGUAAUUGGUGGUGUGCAAGGUGUAUCCGGGUUUGGUGGGUUUAAAGGGUCCGUAGGUGGUUUGAUAAGUCAGUGGGGAAAUUACCGAGCUUAAGUUGGGAGCUGCCAUUGAUACUGUUAGACUUGAGUGCAGAUGAGGUUGGCGGAAUGGGGCAUGUAGCUGUGAAAUGCUUAGAUAUGCCUCGGAACACCGAAUGCGAAGGCAGCUGGCUAAACUGCAACUGACACUAAUGGACGAAAGCGUGGGUAGCGAACAGGAUUAGAUACCCCGGUAGUC